rnacentral:rRNA from 1 species
GUGAGGAAUUUUCCGCAAUGGGCGAAAGUCUGACGCAGCGACGCCGCGUGAGUGAUGAAGGCCUUAGGGUCGUAAAGCUCUGUUGAAUGGGAAGAAAAAAAAUGACGGUACCAUUCGAGGAAGGACCGGCUAACUUCGUGCCAGCAGCCGCGGUAAUACGAGGGGUCCUAGCGUUGUUCGGAAUCAUUGGGCGUAAAGGGUGUGUAGGUGGCCAUGUAAGUCAGGUGUGAAAGCCCCGGGCUCAACCCGGGAAGUGCACUUGAUACUGCGUGGCUUGAGUACCGAAGAGGGUAGUGGAAUUCCAGGUGUAGUGGUGAAAUACGUAGAUAUCUGGAGGAACACCGGUGGCGAAGGCGGCUACCUGGUCGAGUACUGACACUGAGACACGAAAGCAUGGGGAUCAAACAGGAUUAGAAACCCUAGUAGUCC